CCCGUCUCCCAAAGGGCAGGGAAGCAGAGAGAGCCGAACCUGGAUGCCGACCUGUUGAUUUCUUCGUGCCUUGAAGCCGAGCAGCUGCCACAGGUGGGGUGGCCAUGCUUGGAGGCCGGAUCUGAGUCACUGCCCCAAGGAAAGCCCAUAUGGCCUCCCACAUGCCUUGGCGUGGUCAGCCUCCUUGCCAUGCCUUGAGCAGCUUGGGGAGCUGCACCCAAGGGGAGACCUUGUUCAGUUGCACAGAGAAGGGAGCUUGAGAAAGCGGAGCUCUGAGCCAGGAAAAGAUGAAAUAUCUAACCUUUUGGAACACGUGACUAAUUAGGGAACACUGAAUGUACCUUUAAGGGCAGAGCCGAAGGCGCAGGUGUACAGCUAGUCCUCGUUAGUAUAGUGAACCAACCUGGCAGGCAAGCGAGAUUUGCACCGGCGGUUGUCUAUCAUCCGCUUGGUCGCAGUCACGGACGAGCGUCCUCACAUCACAUUGUUACAAGAAAGAAAAAGACAAAGUUCUUAUGUUGAAGUGGAAUUUUCCAUUUUCUGCAUGCCACAGCGCCGCUGUCAAGUGUUUGGUUUAUAUAAUGAUCUCCCAGAAUAAA